AGGAAGAGUCAGAAGAAGAAAGUGAGGAGGAGAAAUAUCAGGCUCUCAUGUGGUGGUGGACGGUGGAGGGCUCCGAGCUGCCAGUAAGGAUAAGAACAGUGAAGAAAUUGGAGCCACCCUUUAAGAUGGACACUAUCAAGGAGGAAAUAGAAC